CGGUAAUUCCAGCUCCAAUAGCGUAUACUAACGUUGUUGCAGUUAAAAAGCUCGUAGUUGGAUUUCUGUGUUGGUGAGGCGGCCGGCCACUCGUGGUUGUAGCUAGUUAUCACCGGCGCAUCUUGUCACAAGCCACGCUGGCCUUAACUGGUUGGCGCUGGGGACUGACUCGUUUACUUUGAGAAAAUUAGAGUGUUCAAAGCAGGCUAUCGCCUUGAAUAUGUUAGCAUGGAAUAAUGAUAUAGGACUUUGGUUCUAUUUUGUUGGUUGUUCGAGAACCGAAGUAAUGAUUGAUAGGGACAGUUGGGGGCAUCAGUAUUCUGAAGCGAGAGGUGAAAUUCUUGGACCUUCGGAAGACUAACAACUGCGAAAGCAUUUGCCUAGGAUGUUCUCUUUAAUCAAGAACGAAAGUUGGGGGAUCGAAGACGAUCAGAUACCGUCGUAGUCUCAACUAUAAACUAUGCCAGCUAGGGAUUGGUGGACGUUUAUUUACGACUCCAUCAGCACCUUAUGAGAAAUCAAAGCAUUUGGGUUCCGGGGGGAGUAUGGUCGCAAGGCUGAAACUUAAAGGAAUUGACGGGAGGGCACCACCAGGAGUGGAGCCUGUGGCUUAAUUUGACUCAACACGGGAAAACUUACCAGGUCCGGACAUAGUAAGGAUUGACAGAUUGAUAGCUCUUUCUUGAUUCUAUGGGUGGUGGUGCAUGUCCGUUCUUAGUUGGUGGAGUGAUUUGUUAGGUUAAUUCCGUUAACGAACGAGACCCCAGCAUAUUAAAUAGUUUACUCGAUGUCUCAUCGGUGCCAACAUAUUAGAGGGUCUAUUCUGUGUAUAACGAAUGGAAGUUCGGGGCCAUAUCAGGUCUGUGAUGACAUUAGAUGGUCUGGGCCGCGCACGGGCUACGCUGUGAGGCUCAACAAGCUUCAUGCUCUGAUACGAUAGGACUGGGCAAUCUUUUGAACUCCUCACGUGAUAGGGAUAGACUAUUGCAAAGUUUAGUCUUGCAGGCGAGGAAUAUGUAUAGUCAAGUCAAGUCAUCACCUUGCAUUGAUUACGUCCC
rnacentral:rRNA from 1 species